rnacentral:rRNA from 2 species
UCUCCUGGAAACGGGUGGUAAUGCCGGAUGUUCCAGUUGAUCGCAUGGUCUUCUGGGAAAGCUUUCGCGGUAUGGGAUGGGGUCGCGUCCUAUCAGCUUGACGGCGGGGUAACGGCCCACCGUGGCUUCGACGGGUAGCCGGCCUGAGAGGGCGACCGGCCACAUUGGGACUGAGAUACGGCCCAGACUCCUACGGGAGGCAGCAGUGGGGAAUAUUGCACAAUGGGCGCAAGCCUGAUGCAGCGACGCCGCGUGAGGGAUGGAGGCCUUCGGGUUGUAAACCUCUUUUAUCGGGGAGCAAGCGUGAGUGAGUUUACCCGUUGAAUAAGCACCGGCUAACUACGUGCCAGCAGCCGCGGUAAUACGUAGGGUGCAAGCGUUAUCCGGAAUUAUUGGGCGUAAAGGGCUCGUAGGCGGUUCGUCGCGUCCGGUGUGAAAGUCCAUCGCUUAACGGUGGAUCCGCGCCGGGUACGGGCGGGCUUGAGUGCGGUAGGGGAGACUGGAAUUCCCGGUGUAACGGUGGAAUGUGUAGAUAUCGGGAAGAACACCA